ACUUCCAUCCAUAUUGGUACAAGUUCAACUCAAUGUAGAUGCGUUUCAGUCAUAGGAUUCAACAUUCCAACAUGAGCGCUAAUCAGAUCACUCUCAGUUGGGGGCUCACUUCUGCUCCCUACAUUUGCAGGUUUGCUCCUCCUUCGAGGUUCCCCUUCUCUAUGAUCAUGACUUCUAGUUUUGUUUCUUUCUUUCUCUGAAGGAGUGUGAGGAGUUUCCCCUUCUCUAUGCUCAAGACUUUUAGUCCGGUUCCCUUCUUCAUCCGGAGUGUAAGGAGAAGGUUCCCCUUCUCUAUGAUCAUGACUUCUAGUUUGAUUUCUUCCUUUCUCUGGAGUGUAUGGAGAGCGCCUUGGGACUUCAUAUAGGGUUACAUCUCUCCCACUGGUUUCCAACACGGCAGCUUCAUCCUUUGACUGGAUACUCUCAAG
rnacentral:lncRNA from 1 species